rnacentral:rRNA from 1 species
GACGAACCGUCCAAACGUUAUUCGGAAUCACUGGGCUUAAAGGGUGCGUAGGCGGCGCGGCAAGUUGGGUGUGAAAUCCCUCGGCUCAACCGAGGAACUGCGCCCAAAACUGCCGUGCUCGAGGGAGAUAGAGGUGAGCGGAACUUAGGGUGGAGCGGUGAAAUGCGUUGAUAUCCUAAGGAACACCGGUGGCGAAAGCGGCUCACUGGAUCUCUUCUGACGCUGAGGCACGAAAGCGAGGGUAGCGAACGGG